AGCCCUAGCCCGGUCACCGGGGGGCAGGAGGCGGAGCUUCCAGUCGGGGUGGUCCAACAUCCACUAGUAGCUUGAAUGUUCAAACGCCGAAGAGGCUGCAGGUCGUUACUCUAGUAGGCCAUUCAGCCGUCCACAGAGCCGAGAGUGUGUGUUUGAUCCAUCCCAUGGAUUUAGGAGUUAGAAGAAGGCAACCAAUCAAGAGGGGGGUUGGCCAUCCAUGUCAAGCCACACAACUAGUUGAGGUCAUGAGGGCUGGGGAGGAGAGAGCCACAGGCAUCACCAAGAGCCAACCGGAGAAAAGAGUCCAGCCAAGGGACCAAUCGGAAAAGAAAACUCUGAGCAUUGACAACCAACCACAGAGCAUCAAGAACACCAAGUCGGCCAUCAAUGACCUCUUUAAGGAAAUGCAGGACCGGGUGUCCCAGGGGAAGGGGAACACGGGCAGGGUCAUAGACUUCAGGAAGUUCCUGAAACGGCCCGACAGACCUCCUCCCCCCCCCCCUGCUGCGCCUCGUCGCAAGGCGUCCCCGCCCCCGCCCCGGCUGGUGAAGAGGAAGGUGGAGGUGGACCUGCUGAAGCUCUGCUGGGGGGAGUCGUGGAAGACCCUCAAGCCGACCAAGAGGGGGCGCUGUCACCAAACCUCCUCGCUGAGGAGCACCAUCAGCCCGGGCAGGAGGUCCCGGGCAGGAGCCGCCAGGGGCGGGAGGAGGAGGCCAGCCCGGGAUGGACAGACUCCUGGAAACUGGUGAAGCCCAGCCCAGCGCCUCCCGGCCCCACCGGCGUGGGGGAGGGCCAGGCGUGGGAGGUGGUGACAGAGAGCCGGUCCCUGGGCAGGUAUCAGCCGCGGGUGGGGGGCUACUGCCUCCCCGUGUGGGCCACGACCUGGAAGACCAUGAUCUUUGUGUUCAGGCAGCAGAAGCCAUGGUGGGACAGGGAGUGGCCCAGCCGGCCCCCCCCUGAACCACAGGACAAGACCCCCCAGCUGCUGGCCUUGGAGACACAGUGUGAGCGUCCCGACUGGCAGCAGGCCUGGAGAAUGUCUGUAACUGCUCCGCCGGCCGACACAGAACCCCCAGCUGGGACAACCAAGAUGGCCGACGUCUUUCUCCCAGGUUGGAACUCUGCCUGGCGACUGGCAGGAGCUCACCCUACUUCAGACGAGGGUGCAGAGCCAAGGAACUGGAACGACCUGUCCUGGAAGCUCCGCCCACAGAGCAGAUGGUGUAUGCCAUCACUAACUUCCCAGCAUCACCAUGCCAAUGCUUUAGAGAAGAGCCGAUUGGCUGCCAGAUUCCUUCUGACUCAGUCCCUCAAGACAGAGGGGGAGGACGAGGAAGAGGGCGAGGAAGAGGAGAUGGAAGAGGAGACAGAAGAGGAGACAGAAGAGGAGGAGACAGAAGAGGAGGAGGAGACUGAAGAGGAGGAAGAGGAGGAGGAGACUGAAGAGGAGGAGGAGAGGCAGGAGGGCUCCAUGAAGGUUCUUCGUCUGCGGUUCCGUGAGUUUGGUGCGGCGUGGAGGAGCAGUUCCUGGCGGGCGUUCCACCGCCCGGAGGAGAAGGAGGAGAUGGACUCCGGCUGGAGGAGCGCCUGGAGGCUCCACAGGGAGGUGCAGGCUAACAGCGUGCAGGAGGAAGUGCUGCUCCUCAGGGGGCGGGGCCUCUGGGCCGAUGAUGGCCUUCCAGACCUCAAGGAGUGGAAGAAGAGCUGGAGAUACGCAGCAAAGGAGG
ensembl:lncRNA